CGCCCGGCGGGUGCGGGCGCUUUCUGCCGUCUGUGCGCCUGCUUCGUGGGGCGAGCCCUAAUGGCCUCACACCCGUCUGAUAUCGGAAAUUGAAAGGCGAGAAAGUCUAGCCCUGGUUAGGAAGUCCUAUCCAUCUGUAUUACCCUGGCUUUAGGGGAAUCUGAGACCCAGAGAGGUUGAGAAACGAAUCAAGAUCAUACAGCUGAUAAGGGACUGAGCCAGAAUUGGAACCCAACUGUUUUGUAACUCCAGAUCUUAGAACUUUCAGCCACUGACCAGACACUCUCAAUUACAGUGAAGAAACAGGGUAGCUGAGUCAGGGAAACAAGGAAGUACAAAGAUGGCAAGAACAGACUUGGCGUUUGGGAUUGGCUAGUGUCCUCUGCUGACUUCUGAGAAGAGCUGUAAAUUCCUGCAACUUAUGUUAGGUACCCAGGUGGUUGAAAAGGACACAGUAUCUUUGUAGAAGAAACUUCUAAAGCUGCUCCAGUUAACAAUGAAGAAGAAAUGAUGGAAUCAAAAUAUCACCACUCUGCAAGUCCUAACAAAUCAAUGGAUAUAGGACUGCUGAACAGCAAAGGGAGAUCAGACAUCCUGUGCCACCUUCUAUUAGGAGUAUUUUCCAGAAAAUUGAACCCAAGUCUGAUCAAACUUCUAGAUCUAACCACCAAUAUACAGAAACUACAGCGGACAGAGGAAUACAUUAAAUGACACCACAGAGGUACAAUUAUUAAAAUUCAGGCUAGGAAAUGCUACUGGACAAACAACCCAUUUCCUUCAAUAAUUAUAAGAGAAAAGUGUGACAGAGGGGGAGUCUAUGAUUAAGAAAGGUCUAAAGACCUAUCACCACCAACUGCAAUUUAUGGCCUUAUUUUGAUCCUGAGUCUAACAAAUAAACUAAAUAAUCAUGAGACAAUUGGGGAAUUUUCAACAGUGACUAUACGUUUAAUUAUAUCAAGAAAUUGUUGUUAAUUUUUAAGAUAUGAUAUUGGUAUUUCCUUUUUAAAGAAAUAAAUACUGAAAUUCUUA